GAUGAACGCCGGCGGCGUGCCUAAUACAUGCAAGUCGAGCGAACAGACGAGGAGCUUGCUCCUCUGACGUUAGCGGCGGACAGGUGAGUAACACGUGGAUAACCUACCUAUAAGACUGGGAUAACUUCGGGAAACCGGAGCUAAUACCGGAUAAUAUAUUGAACCGCAUGGUUCAAUAGUGAAAGACGGUUUUGCUGUCACUUAUAGAUGGAUCCGCGCCGCAUUAGCUAGUCGGUAAGGUAACGGCUUACCAAGGCAACGAUGCGUAGCCGACCUGAGAGGGUGAUCGGCCACACUGGAACUGAGACACGGUCCAGACUCCUACGGGAGGCAGCAGUAGGGAAUCUUCCGCAAUGGGCGAAAGCCUGACGGAGCAACGCCGCGUGAGUGAUGAAGGUCUUCGGAUCGUAAAACUCUGUUAUUAGGGAAGAACAAAUGUGUAAGUAACUAUGCACGUCUUGACGGUACCUAAUCAGAAAGCCACGGCUAACUACGUG
rnacentral:rRNA from 1 species